UACAUACAUACAUACAUACAUACAUACAUACAUACAUACAUACAUACAUACAUACAUACAUACAUACAUACAUACAUACAUACAUACAUACAUACAUACAUACAUACAUACAUACAUACAUACAUACAUACAUCAGUCCCUACUCUUAAGAUGUGGAUUCCAAACAUGUCCGAGACGCUACAUGUUGACAACAAUAUUAGACUUGUGUUGGCAGAUGAUAAACCAGAGCAGAGCAGAGCAGAGCAGAGCAUGUUUGGAAGACAUGGACACCAUGCUGAGAGAAUGGAUGGAUGGAGCGGCUGUGGGCUUGUACACUCUGUGGAGUUUAGAAGGAUGAGAGGGCAUCUGAUUGAAACAUAUAUGAGAUUAUUAAGGGUUUGGACACGCAGGGCAGGGCAGGGCAGGGCAGGGCAGGCAGUUCUAGCAAGGGCAGGCAAUGGUGUAAUUGUAAUCUAUCAGCUAGUUGUACAUAUAUGGUCAUUUUGUGAGAUGUGGUUCUGACAGCCAGUCCUCCCAGCCUCCGCUAUUGGGACCUCCAGCCUUCCUAGCUUGCAUUGCUUUGUGUGUGUUGGUCUGUGUGUGUGUGUGCCCGUGUCGCCUAGUGGCCAGUGUGCCUGCCUGUCUGUGCCUGUGUGUGUGUCAGCCUCCAAUGGGAAGAGUGAGGGAGGGAGUAGCCAGUAGUUUGGGGGACGGUUGGUGUUUAGGCGCCGAGUUUGAAACAUUCAUUGCGAGCUGAGACAGCGCGGCGGGCGGAUGGGUGUGCGGGGCUGGGGCUUAGAGACACAGACGGAGAGAGUGGAUUUGGGCGAGUGAGGGGACUUUUGUGCGGGCAACAGACGGUGCAAUCCGGGCAGAGAAAGCAAGCAAGCAGCAACUCGUGGUGCGGGCGGGCGGGAGCGCGCUGUGCAAGGCAAGGCAAGGCAAGGCAAGGCAAGGCGGGGACGCGCCGAGCAGAUCGAUCGAUCGGUCGGAUCGGAGAGGAGUUAAAGGCAGGGGGCCUGUCCAGAAUAUCACAAGUGAGUGUCAGUAUGCGUGGCCUGCUGCCUGUGAAGUUUGGAGGCUUUAGUGUGAAUUUUGAAUUUUUGGUGAAAUAGUGAAAAUUCCAAGUUUGGCCAAAUCUUGGAAACCGGGUCCCGAGAGAGCGAGGGACUUAGACUGAGACAAGGCGGUAAGUAAAACAUGGGCAGAAUUGUAAGUCUGCAGACACACACACGCACAGAUACAACACAAACAGGCUGGGCUGACAAAGACAUAUCUACUCUACACACACACACACACACACACUGGAGUGAGUUCUUUGACUUCUUGACUGACUUUCCUGUUUCUUAUCUUUGUUUGCAGAUGCAGACCUCCCUCGACAAUGAAGAAUGAAGGACCAGGCUUGGUGGUGCUGGUGCUGCUGAUGCUGCUGAGAGCUGGUUGCUCUUACAAUGAAAUAAUACAAAUCACACAAACACCUUCAGUCACUUAAUAAAAUACUUGGGGAAAAGUCCAAGUCCCAACUCAGUAUAAAUAAGAAGGUGGGUGAAGGCACAAAGCACAAAGCACAAAGCACACGCUACCUGGUCUAUAACAGGAAGGCGCACUGAUAGCACACACGCACACAUCCUGAGUACAAUGAAAUGAAAUAAAGUGCACAAAUCACAAAAAAACACAAACACUUGACUUACUGUCACUUAAUACAAAAAUCUUGGCGAAAAUCACAGUCAGUCCUGGUCUAUAACAGGAAGGCUGGGGCCCAUAAGACAAACCUCCUGGGCUAGUAUACAUAGAUAGAUGGGUGAAGGGCCAAAGCACACGCCACCUGGUCUAUAACAGGAAGGCAUGAGAUUAAUAGCAGCCCUAUUAGCCUCUGUCCUAAAUGGCUAAGUGUCUGUGUGUGUGUGUGUACAGACAGACAGAUAGAUAGACAGAUAG